AGCUAACCAGCCUCAGCAUGUCCUGGCUUACUUUCCUACUCAUUCUUAGCACACUCUAUACAUAUUGUGCAACACAGGUCACAGUUAGUCAGCCAACUUCCGAAUCAGUUUCCAUGGGGAAAACAGUUACACUGCCUUGCACCCUCAGUGGGUAUAGCUUUAGCAACACAGCUGUACGGUGGUUUCAACUGAAGGAAGGAAAGAAUCCCAGGUUCCUGCUUUGGUAUGGUUCUGACUCAAGCAAAGGUCAAGGAACAGGUGUACCUGAUCGAUUUUCUGGGUCUAAAGACAUCUCCAAGAAUGCUGGCUAUAUAACCAUUAGAGGAGCCUUACUAGAAGAUGAUGCAGAUUAUCACUGUGCUAUAUGGCAUUCUCCAUCCAGCUCGUUGCACAGUGGUGUAUUGCUGUGAGGAACUGAAACCAGAAGUGUUUAUAAUCUUGUGUAUUGGGCUGGUCUGCAUCUCAGAGGUGAAACUAACUCCAUGUUAUCAAAGAGAUC